CAUGGUGUAGCUCAGUGGCAGAGCAUUUGCCUAGCAUGUGUAAGGUCCUGGGUUCAGUCUCCAGCACCAUAU
rnacentral:tRNA from 1 species